rnacentral:rRNA from 1 species
UAGUCUACGCGGUAAACGAUGGAUACUAGUUGUCGGGGAAAUUGAGACUCGGUGGCUAAGCGAAAGUGAUAAGUAUCCCACCUGGGGAGUACGAUCGCAAGAUUGAAACUCAAAGGAAUUGACGGGGGCCCGCACAAGCGGUGGAGCAUGUGGUUUAAUUCGAUGAUACGCGAGGAACCUUACCUGGGCUUAAAUGUAGAUUGACGUAACUGGAAACAGUUAUUCCUUCGGGCAAUUUACAAGGUGCUGCAUGGUUGUCGUCAGCUCGUGCCGUGAGGUGUCAGGUUAAGUCCUAUAACGAGCGCAACCCCUAUCGAUAGUUGCUAGCAGGUCAUGCUGAGGACUCUGUUGAGGCUGCCGGUGCAAACCGUGAGGAAGGUGGGGAUGACGUCAAAUCAUCACGGCCCUUACGUCCAGGGCUACACACGUGCUACAAUGGUGCAUACAGAGAGCAGCCAUCUAGUGAUAGAGAGCGAAUCUAUAAAGUG